GGAGAGGUUCCCGAGUGGCCAAAGGGAGCAGACUGUAAAUCUGCCGGCUCUGCCUUCGGAGGUUCAAAUCCUCCCCUCUCCACCA
rnacentral:tRNA from 14 species